rnacentral:lncRNA from 1 species
GAGUCAACCUCACGCUCCCACCGUGCAGAAGCUGCUAAAAGAUACUGGAGUUAAGUACCGUGCUAUUUUAACUGUGGUUUGGGCUGGAGAAGAGUCCCUUGGCAUCCUGAGGAAAAUUAUGCUUAGGCG